rnacentral:rRNA from 1 species
GGGUAUGAUCAUACCAACAUUAAUGCAUCGGAUCCCAUCAGAACUCUGUAGUUAAGUUCUCUUGGGCUAGAGUAGUACUGUGAUGGGUGACCUCUUGGGAAGUCCUAGUGUUGCACCCU